UACGGAGGAUGCAAGCGUUAUCCGGAAUGAUUGGGCGUAAAGCGUCCGCAGGUGGCGAUGUAAGUCUGCUGUUAAAGAGUGAGGCUCAACCUCAUAAGAGCAGUGGAAACUACAUAGCUAGAGUACGUUCGGGGCAGAGGGAAUUCCUGGUGUAGCGGUGAAAUGCGCAGAUAUCAGGAGGAACACCUAUGGCGAAGGCAGCUCUCUGGGACGGUACUGACGCUGAGACGCGAAAGCGUGGGGAGCGAACAGG
rnacentral:rRNA from 1 species